GAUGAACGCUGGCGGCGUGCCUAAUACAUGCAAGUCGAGCGAAUGGAUUAAGAGCUUGCUCUUAUGAAGUUAGCGGCGGACGGGUGAGUAACACGUGGGUAACCUGCCCAUAAGACUGGGAUAACUCCGGGAACCCGGGGCUAAUACCGGAUAACAUUUUGAACCGCAUGGUUCGAAAUUGAAAGGCGGCUUCGGCUGUCACUUAUGGAUGGACCCGCGUCGCAUUAGCUAGUUGGUGAGGUAACGGCUCACCAAGGCAACGAUGCGUAGCCGACCGGAGAGGGUGAUCGGCCACACUGGGACUGAGACACGGCCCAGACUCCUACGGGAGGCAGCAGUAGGGAAUCUUCCGCAAUGGACGAGAGUCUGACGGAACAACGCCGCGUGAGUGAUGAAGGCUUUCGGGUCGUAAAACUCUGUUGUUAGGGAAGAACAAGUGCUAGUUGAAUAAGCUGACACCUUGACGGUACCUAACCAGAAAGCCACGGCUAACUACGUGCCAGCCGCCGCCGUAA
rnacentral:rRNA from 1 species